CCUACGGGACGCAGCAGUGGGGAAUAUUGCACAAUGGGGGAAACCCUGAUGCAGCAACGCCGCGUGGGUGAAGGAGCGUUUCGGCGCGUAAAGCCCUGUCAGCGGGGAAGAAGAAAGACGGUACCCGACCAAGAAGCCCUGGCUAACUACGUGCCAGCAGCCGCGGUAAUACGUAGGGGGCGAGCGUUAUCCGGAUUCAUUGGGCGUAAAGCGCGCGUAGGCGGCCGCCUAAGCGGAACCUCUAACCCCGGGGCUCAACCUCGGGCCGGGUUCCGGACUGGGCGGCUCGAGUGCGGUAGAGGAGG
rnacentral:rRNA from 1 species